rnacentral:rRNA from 1 species
AUACGUAGGGGGCGAGCGUUGUCCGGAAUGAUUGGGCGUAAAGGGCGCGUAGGCGGCCCGGUAAGUCUGGAGUGAAAGUCCUGUUUUUAAGAUGGGAAUUGCUUUGGAUACUGUCGGGCUUGAGUGCAGGAGAGGUAAGUGGAAUUCCCAGUGUAGCGGUGAAAUGCGUAGAGAUUGGGAGGAACACCAGUGGCGAAGGCGACUUACUGGACUGUAACUGACGCUGAGGGGCGAAAGUGUGGGGAGCAAACAGGAUUAGAUACCCUGGUAGUCCACACUGUAAACGAUGAAUGCUAGGUGUAGGGGGUAUCGACCCCUUCUGUGCCGCAGUCAACACAAUAAGCAUUCCGCCUGGGGAGUACGGCCGCAAGGUUGAAACUCAAAGGAAUUGACGGGG